CCUACGGGAGGCAGCAGUGGGGAAUAUUGCACAAUGGGGGAAACCCUGAUGCAGCGACGCCGCGUGAGUGAAGAAGUAUCUCGGUAUGUAAAGCUCUAUCAGCAGGGAAGAAAAUGACGGUACCUGACUAAGAAGCCCCGGCUAACUACGUGCCAGCAGCCGCGGUAAUACGUAGGGGGCAAGCGUUAUCCGGAUUUACUGGGUGUAAAGGGAGCGUAGACGGCGCUGCAAGUCAGGAGUGAAAGCCCAGGGCUUAACCAUGGGACUGCUUUGGAAACUGUGGGGCUGGAGUGCGGGAGGGGCAAGCGGAAUUCCUAGUGUAGCGGUGAAAUGCGUAGAUAUUAGGAGGAACACCAGGGGCGAAGGCGGCUUGCUGGACUGUAACUGACGCUGAGGCGCGAAAGCGUGGGGAGCAAACAGGAUUAGAUACCCUAGUAGUC
rnacentral:rRNA from 1 species